rnacentral:rRNA from 1 species
AGUGAACGCUGGCGGUAGGCCUAACACAUGCAAGUCGAACGGCAGCACAGUAAGAGCUUGCUCUUACGGGUGGCGAGUGGCGGACGGGUGAGGAAUACAUCGGAAUCUACUUUUUCGUGGGGGAUAACGUAGGGAAACUUACGCUAAUACCGCAUACGACCUACGGGUGAAAGCAGGGGAUCUUCGGACCUUGCGCGAUUGAAUGAGCCGAUGUCGGAUUAGCUAGUUGGCGGGGUAAAGGCCCACCAAGGCGACGAUCCGUAGCUGGUCUGAGAGGAUGAUACGCAACAUGGGAAGUGGGCAACGGUCCAACUUCCUAGGGGCGGCAGAAGGGGGGAAUAUUGGAAAUGGGGCGAAACCUGACCCCCGCCCUCCCGGGGGGGUGAAGAGGCCCUUCGGGUUGUAAACCCUUUUUGUGGGGAAAAAAAACGGCAAGGUUAAUCCCCCGCUUUUUGGCGGGACCCCAAAGAAAAAGCCCCGGCAAAUUUCUG